GACGAACGCUGGCGGCGUGCUUAACACAUGCAAGUCGAACGGAAAGGCCCCUUCGGGGGUACUCGAGUGGCGAACGGGUGCGUAACACGUGAGUAACCUGCCCUUGACUUCGGGAUAACUUCAGGAAACUGGGGCUAAUACCGGAUAGGAAUCCUUGCUGCAUGGUGGGGGUUGGAAAGCUUCGGCGGUUUUGGAUGGACUCGCGGCUUAUCAGCUUGUUGGUGGGGUAGUGGCUUACCAAGGCUUUGACGGGUAGCCGGCCUGAGAGGGCGACCGGCCACAUUGGGACUGAGAUACGGCCCAGACUCCUACGGGAGGCAGCAGUGGGGAAUAUUGCACAAUGGGCGGAGGCCUGAUGCAGCAACGCCGCGUGCGGGAUGACGGCCUUCGGGUUGUAAACCGCUUUCAGCAGGGGCGAAGCUUGUGGUGACGGUACCUGCAGAAGAAGCACCGGCUAACUACGUG
rnacentral:rRNA from 1 species